rnacentral:rRNA from 1 species
CCCGCACAAGCGGUGGAGCAUGUGGUUUAAUUCGAUGAUACGCGAGGAACCUUACCUGGGCUACAAAUGUAUGUUGACGUAUUCUGAAAGGGAUACUUCUUCGGACAAUAUACAAGGUGCUGCAUGGUUGUCGUCAGCUCGUGCCGUGAGGUGUCGGGUUAAGUCCCAUAACGAGCGCAACCCCUAUCAUUAGUUGCCAUCAGGUCAAGCUGGGGACUCUAAUGAAACUGCCUACGCAAGUAGUGAGGAAGGUGGGGAUGGCGUCAAAUCAGCACGGCCCUUACGUCCAGGGCUACACACGUGCUACAAUGGCCGGUACAAAGGGCAGCUACCUGGUGACAGGAUGCUAAUCUCAAAAGCCGGUCUCAGUUCGGAUCGGAGUCUGCAACCCGCCUCCGUGAAGCUGGAAUCGCUAGUAAUCGCGCAUCAGCCAUGGCGCGGUGAAUACGUUCCCGGGCCUU